AGAAGAGUGCCUGAUUAAAGGGCUAUUUUGAUAGAAUAGAUAAUGUAUGAAAAUACCUCUUCUA
rnacentral:tRNA from 1 species